rnacentral:rRNA from 1 species
UACAGAGGGUGCGAGCGUUGUCCGGAAUCACUGGGCGUAAAGGGCGCGUAGGUGGUGGCUUAAGCGUGCGGUGAAAGCUCGGAGCUCAACUCCGAGUCGGCCGUGCGAACUGGGCUCACUGGAGCAUAGUAGAGGCAGGUGGAAUUCCGGGUGUAGCGGUGGAAUGCGUAGAGAUCCGGAAGAACACCGGUGGCGAAGGCGGCCUGCUGGGCUAUGGCUGACACUGAGGCGCGACAGCGUGGGGAGCAGACAGG